rnacentral:rRNA from 1 species
UACAGAGGGGGCAAGCGUUGUUCGGAAUUACUGGGCGUAAAGGGCGCGUAGGCGGCCUGCUAAGUCGAACGUGAAAUCCCUGGGCUCAACCCAGGAACUGCGUCCGAUACUGGUUGGCUUGAAUCCGGGAGAGGGACGUGGAAUUCCAGGUGUAGCGGUGAAAUGCGUAGAGAUCAUGAGGAAGACCAGUGGCGAAGGCGGGUCUCUGGACAGUUCCUGACACUGAGACACGAAGGCCAGGGGAGCAAACGGG